UGUUGCAAAUGAGCAGCACCAAAUUACAUGCAAGUCAUUUCAGAGGAGAAAAAAGCUGUUGGAAACAGAAAUCAUGAGGACUUACAAGUUGCCUGCUGAGGUCCCUUUGACAACAGUGUCUUUCAGGAUUCAUUUGCACCUUUCAUCAGGACAUUUUGGAGAAAAAAAUGGAAGGAAUUAAUAGCUAUCCGUAAUUAUGCCUCAGAUUGGCAGUACCUGGGGGUAAAUGGAGCUCAUAUCUCCAAGUUGCCAUUCCUGAGUUUUAGCCACCAACCUAUGCUCCCUUCUUUCUGCAAAUGGGUCAUUUUGGAUGCAGCAAUGAGGAAGAGUGCAUGAACUUCAGUCUCUAGUUAUGAUUUCAAACUCACAAAAAAAUCUGUGAAAUGGGGGAUUGGAAAGGAAAACAGCAAUUAACAGCUCCUGACUAGGACAUGGGCAAUGCCAGGAAACAUUCAGAAAAAUAACCCAUGGCAGUUGCUGAAAGGGGCCUAGCAAAUGGAUAAGAGGGAGUAGCAAACUAGAUGCUGGUUUAUAAAAUGAGAGGGUCUGAUUUUGACCUGCAGAGAGGUGAAGAACAUUGUAUCACAGAAGAGAAGGGAGAUGGCUUCUCUCUGCAGGGUAUUGCUGAGUCUGAGCCAUCCUCUGAACAGAGAAAGCAAAUGCAGGCAUUCGUGUGUCAAGGAGACAUCAUAUUGGAAAGAAUUCAACAAUGAACAACAAUCAAAUAACUAAAGGGAAGAUUAAAUAACUAAAUAGUACAGUUUGGAUAAGUAAACCCCUACGAAGAAGAUAAAAUCAUUUGAAGGUGUCAACAUCAAGGAGAGAGCACUGUUUACACAGCUCUAGAUAAAGCGUAACAAGAAAGGAAAAUACCUUUUCCUGCAGAAAGGGAAAAUGCAGACUGGCAGUAAGAACUGCUAACCUGCUGCUGCUGACCUUCACAGCCCUUCC